rnacentral:rRNA from 1 species
AUUGAACGCUGGCGGAAUGCUUACACAUGCAAGUCGAACGGCAGCACGGGGGCAACCCUGGUGGCGAGUGGCGAACGGGUGAGUAAUACAUCGGAACGUGCCCAGUCGUGGGGGAUAACUACGCGAAAGCGUAGCUAAUACCGCAUACGAACUCUGGUUGAAAGCGGGGGACUCGCAAGAGCCUCGCGCGAUUGGAGCGGCCGAUGGCAGAUUAGGUAGUUGGUGGGGUAAAGGCUCACCAAGCCGACGAUCUGUAGCUGGUCUGAGAGGACGACCAGCCACACUGGGACUGAGACACGGCCCAGACUCCUACGGGAGGCAGCAGUGGGGAAUUUUGGACAAUGGGCGCAAGCCUGAUCCAGCCAUUCCGCGUGCAGGAUGAAGGCCCUCGGGUUGUAAACUGCUUUUGUACGGAACGAAAAGGCUUUCUCUAAUACAGAGAGCUCAUGACGGUACCGUAAGAAUAAGCACCGGCUAACUACGUGCCAGCAGCCGCGGUAAUACGUAGGGUGCAAGCGUUAAUCGGAAUUACUGGGCGUAAAGCGUGCGCAGGCGGUUAUGUAAGACAGGUGUGAAAUCCCCGGGCUUAACCUGGGAACUGCAUUUGUGACUGCAUAGCUAGAGUACGGUAGAGGGGGAUGGAAUUCCGCGUGUAGCAGUGAAAUGCGUAGAUAUGCGGAGGAACACCGAUGGCGAAGGCAAUCCCCUGGACCUGUACUGACGCUCAUGC